GCAUCCGUAGCUCAAUUGGAUAGAGCUUCUGACUUCGGAUCAGAAGGUUACAGGUUCAAGUCCUGUCGGAUGCACCA
rnacentral:tRNA from 1 species